rnacentral:piRNA from 2 species
UCUCCGAUGCCCAGAUGAUGCAGAC